rnacentral:rRNA from 1 species
AGCCCCGCGCGUAAAUUGCCCGAAUCCUGACACAGGGAGGUAGUGACAAGAAAUAACAAUACAGGGCUACUUCUAGUCUUGUAAUUGGAAUGAGUACAACUUACAUCUCUUCACGAGGAUCAAUUGGAGGGCAAGUCUGGUGCCAGCAGCCGCGGUAAUUCCAGCUCCAAAAGCGUAUAUUAAAGUUGUUGCAGUUAAAACGCUCGUAGUCGGGUUUCGGGUCGGGCCGAGCGGUCUGCCGAUGGGUAUGCACUGUUUGGCGCGGCCUUCUUUCCGGAGACCGCGGCUACUCUUAACUGAGCGGGCGUGGGAGACGGAUCGUUUACUUUGAAAAAAUCAGAGUGUUUCAAGCAGGCAGCUCGCUCUUGCAUGGUACAGCAUGGGAUGAUUGAAUAGGACUCCGGUGCUAUUUUGUUGGUUUCGAACACCAGGAGUAAUGAUUAACAGGGACAGUCAGGGGCACUCGUAUUCCGUCGAGAGAGGUGAAAUUCUCAGACCAAUGGAAGACGAACCACUGCGAAAGCAUUUGCCAGGGAUAUUUUCACUGAUCAAGAACGAAAGUUAGGGGAUCGAAGACGAUCAGAUACCGUCGUAGUCUUAACCAUAAACCAUGCCGACUAGGGAUUGGAGGGUGUUCGUUUCGACCUCUUCAGCACCUUACGGGAAACUAAAGUCUUUGGGUUCCGGGGGGAGUAUGGUCGCAAGGCUGAAACUUAAAGGAAUUGACGGAAGGGCACCACCAGGAGUGGAGCCUGCGGCUUAAUUUGACUCAACACGGGGAAACUUACCAGGUCCAGUCAUUGUUAGGAUUGACAGAUUGAGAGCUCUUUCUUGAUUCGAUGRGUGGUGGUGCAUGGCCGUUCUUAGUUGGUGGAGUGAUUUGUCUGGUUAAUUCCGAUAACGAACGAGACCGUAGCCUGCUAAAUAGUCCCGCGAACUUCUUGUUGGCGGCCGACUUCUUAGAGGGACAACUUGUGACCAACAAGUGGAAGUUUGCGGCAAUAACAGGUCUGUGAUGCCCUUAGAUGUUCUGGGCCGCACGCGCGCUACACUGAAGCACUCAACGAGUCCACCUCGACCGACAGGUCUGGGAGACCUUUUGAAAUUGCUUCGUGAUGGGGAUAGAUUAUUGCAACUAUUAAUCUUCAACGAGGAAUUCGUAGUAAGCGCAUGUCAUCAGCGUGCGUGA